GAGUCACUAACUUAGUGGCCUCGAGGAAAAUCAAGUUUUGGAGGCUCAUGUCCCUAUCUGUGACAUAUGCACUCAACCUACACAAUCACCAAGCUUUAAAAAUAUUUUUUUCUAGUGCUGUGUAUUGAGCCACUAGGCAAGAGCUCUAUCCCAGCCCAUACUAACCAUAGAUCAGAAAAAUGUUUAUUUCUGACAAGUCCUAACAAGCUUCCCUUUUUUGAAGGGUUACAAAGUCAUCUCGUGCUUUCUUUGUCUUGGCUGCCAGGAAGCUCAGAGCAACAGCAGCAGCCAAUCAUAAAUAUUAUGUUAGGCCAGGGAGUGACGAGAGCCCUCAGAUGUCAGGUAGGGUGGAGUAAGAAGGGGGCUUGGGUUCAGGAAAGGCCUGAUAGUUUUUGAACAGGAGAACAGACAAAAUAAAUCUUUGUUUAUGUUUAUGUGUGUGUACUUGCAGAGACUCAAAUUGAGAACCAAGGCCUCGGACUUAACAGCCCUGGAUCCACAUGCUGCCUUCGGCAAAAGUCCCGUAAGGGGGUCAUCAUAUUCCCAAUCUAAGGAGGCCCAAGUUCACAUGAAGCCCUGAAGUUUCGGUGGGUGAUUCUGUACACUAACAUAUAUGUAUAGGGCCUGCUUUAGGGCAUCCAUGGCUUAAGAAAGCAUACUAAUGAUUUAGGGGCACAGGAGGAAGAAAAGCAGUUAUGACUCUUGGGCAAAGGUCUGGAGAAGGCAAGCCCAAAGAUGCUGUCCCAUGGCUCACAUCCUGCCACCUUCAUCCUCAAACUGAGUCAGUCCAGCCUAGACAGUGAGAAUGGGGUCUCUAGGUCACCCUCAGCCCCAACCACACUUUCACAGGCCUCACAUUGGGGCUGUGGACUCCCUUCACCUUAGGGUCAUUCCAGGGUCUGGGAUAAUAGAGGGGGGCUGCUCCCCACACCUCCUGCAUCACAGUUUCAAGGAAAUGUGGGCACUGGCCACACCGGUUAACACUGCUUGGAAGUAAGUCUCCACGAGCUUGCCGGUCCAAACUACAAAAACAAACAACAAAACCCCACUGUCUAUGUCAGCCAGGCCUGCACCUCGGCUUGGUGGAGAAGGCCCUAACGGUCAGCGCCAGCGAGGGGCCCAGCAGCACCCUACAGUUCUGCUGCUUUCUCCUUAGCAGCCCGGAAGGUCACUGCGGCCUUGGGGACAGGGUCCAGGGGCGACGGAGGACGGUCCAGGUGGGGGGUGAAGGUGAGGGCUGGGAGAUAACGAAUAUUUGGAGUCAGCCCACCGCAGGCAGCCUCCAGGACUCCCGGGCCGAGUGCGCUCUCUGAGCUCGCCGCUUCUGGGCCGCGCUGGCCGGCUGGAGCGAGGAGGAGCUCGGCGGACCCCGCGGCGCGGCGACCUACCUCGUGCCCACGCAGCCAUCUUGCCGCCGCUCGCUCGCUCUCAAAAUGGCCUCCCGGACCCGCGGCGCGUCCCGCCGUAGCCCAGACGCAGGCCGCCCGAGGGGACGCGGCCCGUCCCUCGGUUCUCCUCUCGGCACCGGCGUCGGGUGUGCGUGCGCUCUGGGGUCUUCCUGGCGCCCGGCACUUCCGUAGGCCCGGGGAGAGCUGAGACUCGAGGUGUGAGGCCGGCCUGGGAGUCUCUGUCGGGGCCGGGAGCGAGCGAGCGCCCAAGACCAGGUCCUGGGCCCCGCUGUGGGGCUCGCCUGACCCCCCGGGCAGCCGAGGUUCCGGCCACCGCUCGCGACUCAGGCUCAGGCCAGACGUGUCUAAAAGGCCACCACCGAGGCUGUGCGCUCAGCCUGCCCGCGCUCCUCCAUAGCCACCAGCACAGCACGACUGCGUUACAAAGCCCAAGCUAGCAGCCACUCACCUCUCCCGUGGCGGUGGCACGGCCUCCUUCGUGCUGGGAGCUGAGCGAACGGGUGCCAGCGAAAGGGGACGCCGAGCCCAGGUAGGAAGUGCGGGAAGGUGGAGCACCUGCUGGGGAGCAAACUGCAAUACAAAGAGGAGAAGUCGGAUGCCUGCCUCCGAGCCCUAGAAGUGUGUACGGUUCAUUCGAAGCCUCAGGGUCCUAUGGCACUGGCCUGCUGGUGAGGACACAGGCGUCCUCCAGGUCACGACCACAGCCUGGGGAAUAUGUUGGAUGCUUUAAGCCCCAACCACCUCCACCUAGAAUGUGGAAGAGACAUCGGGUUGGGUAUCUGCUAUGGAAGGAGCAGGUUCUGUCAUAGUACCCAUAGCUGUCGCCUGAGGUCCCUCAGGAAUGGAAGUUCAGGAGGCGGAACACCCAGAUGCGUGUUCCUUACCUGAACAGAAAGCCUGAGUUCCACUUAACCAAGUCACAAAUGUGACUUGACUUUACCCAAUGUCACAACUCAUGAGACUUCGACACUAGGAGGUUUUCCGAAAGAGCUGGCUCCAGGCACAGAGCUAACCCGGGCCUCCUGGAGGUGCCGUCUUGGCCUCCAACCGGAGCCUUCUUUGCUGGGGUAACCGGUGCGGGUCUUCAAAGGUCUCGGUGCGGGUCUUCAAAGGUCUCGAGACAGAUGUCCCCCUAGUUAGUCAUCCAAGUUCAGAAUUUAUACCUGUCUCUCUCUGACCUCUCAUACACGGAGUGCUCUUUAAGGCCCUUGGGACUCAGCAGACCUGGUACUAGCUGGGGGUGGUAGGCAGCCCGUGGGCCCUUUGGUGACUUUGUACGUCUAUUUGGACUUUUAUUCUGUCUUCAGCAGGGAGGAAGUUUUGAAUUUCAGACCCAGAUAAUGUGUGCAUCCCUGCCAAUUGAGCUAUCAUUGGACCUCUGCCCACUAUGUUCCAGGCAUUUUCUUUGUAUGUUUUAUGUAACUCUCACAUGACCCCUUUAGGUACAGGUACUAUUGUCCUCAUUUCACCCAGAGAGGUGAGGGCCACACCUCAAGGAUAUCUUGAGUGGGAAAGGGUAAAACCCGUGAAAGAAUCUGCCUGGCAGUAGAGCACCCCCAGUUCCCAGCUGCCCAGGCUCUCUAAGAUUUAGAAUGUGAGUUUUUUAAACCUGGUGAUCUUGAAUCUUGAGGUCUAGAACUUCAAAUAAGGAAUUAUCACCUUCAAGGGCAGAAAAGGCCACAUAAACAAGCCAGUCCUACUUUCCCCAUAAGCAGGGGGUUUCCGAAGCCCUUCCAGGCUCCACCCUUUAGGGUGCGUUCAAAAGCUUGAGGGACCUUGGAGAAGCCCCACAAUGGCCAACAAUCCGUUCAUGGGACAAUGGUGGUAUUAUCAGGAUAACCCAACUAGAAUAACAUGAGACAGUGAUAAUAAGAGCUUGAUUUUUCCCAUAUACUCUGAGG
rnacentral:lncRNA from 1 species